rnacentral:lncRNA from 1 species
UUAUAAACACAUAGUAGGAUCGACUAGGUAGAUAAGGAGUUAUAACGGUAGGCACUGAGUGCCGAACGGUAGGCUCAGAGGCCAAAACUGUGAUAGCAGGGCUCUGUGGCCAUGCUUAUGAGGUACCUGAUAAGUAACCUCAAAUAUAGAUCAUGUAUCGGUAGCAGUACUGCGAACUCUGUAUGUUUAUAUGGCGUGCCAUACCCUUAAGCUAACCUCGACUCCUAUUACGUUUACCAGGGCCAAGUAUCAUUAACUCAAUGUAUCAAUGUAAAUGCA